rnacentral:snoRNA from 14 species
UCGCGCUACCUUUGAGCCCCCGGCGCACCUUCUUGUGGUGCUGGGGGUUAUUAAGAUGCCGUGCUAUAGCACUUUGCUGGGACAUAACUGGGGCCACCUGCCUAUCACAGGCAGCCCUUUUAAUUGCUAGCUACAGGC